GAAGAUGGAGGUGAGCGAGCGAGAGAAGAGAGAGAUAGUUUCUGCAAUCUUUUUCUUUUUUUUUAGUAAGAAUGUUUAAUUCUCUUUUGUAUUUAUAUGCAUCUAUUACAAUUAAAAUAAUCUAGAUAUUUAAAUUAUUUAUUAUUGUUUAAGAAAAAUCUUAGAUAUUAAUUAUUAAAUCAAUUCUAGAAUAUUCCAUUUACUUAUACUUUUAUUAUAAACAAUUUACAUAUUAAUAUCU
rnacentral:lncRNA from 1 species